rnacentral:snoRNA from 1 species
AGCCUCUUUUCCAGUGAGAAUGGGCACGGUUGAUCGUGGAGUGCAGAACUGCUAAUGGGGCUAAGCUGAGACACAGGUUAUGCUUCCAUCACAGCAAAUGUAUUGCAGUGGUGACAAAGAGACCGGGAACCAUU